rnacentral:rRNA from 1 species
GACGAAGGUGGCUAACGUUAUUCGGUGUCACUGGGCUUAAAGCGUGUGUAGGUGGGUCGGUAAGCGCCUUGUGAAAUACCCCAGCUCAACUGGGGAAUUGCUUGGCGUACUGCCGGUCUUGAGGCAAGCAGGGGUACAUGGAACUCUUGGUGGAGCGGUGGAAUGCGUAGAUAUCAAGAGGAACGCCGAUGGUGAAGACAGUGUACUGGGCUUGUUCUGACACUGAGACACGAAAGCGUGGGGAG